rnacentral:snoRNA from 1 species
GUUGGAAAUGCCUCACACGGUAAUGGUGUUGUGUGGUUUGCUUUACUUACAGGACUAUUUCUUAGAUCUGUAGGAAGUAAUUACAAGAUGUUU